CCUGCAACAAACCCCGACUUCUGGAAGGGAUGCAUUUAUUAGAUAAAAGGUCGACACGGGCUUUGCCCGUUGCUGCGAUGAUUCAUGAUAACUCGACGAAUCGCAUGGCCCUCGUGCCGGCGACGCAUCAUUCAAAUUUCUGCCCUAUCAACUUUCGAUGGUAGGAUAGUAGCCUACUAUGGUGGUGACGGGUGACGGAGAAUUAGGGUUCCAUUCCGGAGAGUGAGCCUGAGAAACGGCUACCACAUCCAAGGAAGGCAGCAGGUGCGCAAAUUACCCAAUCCUGACACGGGAAGGUAGUGACAAUAAAUAACAAUAUCGGGCUCUACGAGUCUAGUAAUUGGAAUGAGUAUAAUCUAAAUCCCUUAACGUGGAUCCAUUGGAGGGCAAGUCUGAUGCCAGCAGCCACGGUAAUUCCAGCUCCAAUAGUGUAUAUUUAAGUUGUUGCAGUUAAAAAGCUCGUAGUUGGACCUUGGGUUGGGUCGGCCGGUCCGCCUCUGGUG